rnacentral:rRNA from 1 species
UGAGGAAUAUUGGUCAAUGGUCGGGAGACUGAACCAGCCAAGCCGCGUGAGGGAUGAAGGUACAGAGUAUCGUAAACCUCUUUUGUCAGGGAACAAAAGGCGCCACGCGUGGCGCUCCGAGUGUACCUGAAGAAAAGCAUCGGCUAACUCCGUGCCAGCAGCCGCGGUAAUACGGAGGAUGCGAGCGUUAUCCGGAUUUAUUGGGUUUAAAGGGUGCGUAGGCGGCGAGUUAAGUCAGCGGUAAAAGCCCGGGGCUCAACCCCGGCCCGCCGUUGAAACUGGCUUGCUUGAGUUGGAGAGAAGUAGGCGGAAUGCGCGGUGUAGCGGUGAAAUGCUUAGAUAUCGCGCAGAACUCCGAUUGCGAAGGCAGCCUACCGGCUCCACACUGACGCUGAGGCUCGAAGGUGCGGGUAUCGAACAGGAUUAGAUACC